rnacentral:rRNA from 1 species
AGUGGCGACGGGUGAGUAACACGUGGGCAAUCUGCCCUUCACUCUGGGACAAGCCCUGGAAACGGGGUCUAAUACCGGAUAACACUCCUCCCUGCAUGGGGAGGGGUUAAAAGCUCCGGCGGUGAAGGAUGAGCCCGCGGCCUAUCAGCUUGUUGGUGGGGUAAUGGCCUACCAAGGCGACGACGGGUAGCCGGCCUGAGAGGGCGACCGGCCACACUGGGACUGAGACACGGCCCAGACUCCUACGGGAGGCAGCAGUGGGGAAUAUUGCACAAUGGGCGAAAGCCUGAUGCAGCGACGCCGCGUGAGGGAUGACGGCCUUCGGGUUGUAAACCUCUUUCAGCAGGGAAGAAGCGCAAGUGACGGUACCUGCAGAAGAAGCGCCGGCUAACUACGUGCCAGCAGCCGCGGUAAUACGUAGGGCGCAAGCGUUGUCCGGAAUUAUUGGGCGUAAAGAGCUCGUAGGCGGCUUGUCACGUCGGAUGUGAAAGCCCGGGGCUUAACCCCGGGUCUGCAUUCGAUACGGGCAGGCUAGAGUGUGGUAGGGGAGAUCGGAAUUCCUGGUGUAGCGGUGAAAUGCGCAGAUAUCAGGAGGAACACCGGUGGCGAAGGCGGAUCUCUGGGCCAUUACUGACGCUGAGGAGCGAAAGCGUGGGGAGCGAACAGGAUUAGAUACCCUGGUAGUCCACGCCGUAAACGUUGGGAACUAGGUGUUGGCGACAUUCCACGUCGUCGGUGCCGCAGCUAACGCAUUAAGUUCCCCGCCUGGGGAGUACGGCCGCAAGGCUAA